UAUUUAUAUAAAAUAGAGUUUGCUCUCUCCUUAUAGAGCCACCUAGGAUGCCACAUCAGAAAUUCUAGCUCUGUGAAAUCGACAUCUGUCAUCUCUCACCAAAACUCACCGUAUCACCUGUUAUUCACAGUUUUGCAUUUGUCGCAAGCGUCUCUUCUAAUUCUUCUUCUGUUUCUCUACUCUUGAUCAUUCAUUCCUCUUCGUUAAAUCUUAUAUGCGUGAGCCAUAAUACUCUUCCAACUUCCUCUCUUUCUCCAAUAAUAUAAACAUGUCUGUCGAAGAUUUUACCGAAUCAAAUUCUACAACAUCCAUUCACCAAAAAUCAAUCGACAGGGUUCCACUAUAGUCGUCGAUAUCCACCAUUAGAGACGUGAUGUAGGGUUCCACCACGAUCAUCUAAAUCGGCCAUUAGAGAGACUGAGAUGCAGAAGUCUGUGUGACGAAUCUGUUGGUUGGGUUUCGAUCAGUCCUUUCGCCUUCUUUCCAUCCAUCACAGUAAACGAGAUAGUAAACAUCAGUGUUUGUUUGAUUUUCUUAAUUUCUAGAUUAUUUUUAGAUUACAAGUUUAUAUUAUGGGAUGGAUAAUGUGAGGAAACCUGUUGUGAAUCCUUUUAGCUCGGAUUUACCCGGGGAUGACGACUUACUAAUAUGCCUCAACUAAAGACAAUCUUAAACAUGUUAAGUGGUCCAAUUCCAGAUACAUUUAUGAAUCUGGAUUAUACCUUUACGUUCUUGAGUAAUAACUACUUAACAAGUGAAGUUCCUCUAUUUGUCCUCAACAGUAGAGCCAUGCUGGUGAUUGUUGCUACAAACAUUAACCAAAAAAUGGUUGGAGGCCGUUUGUUCCUUAAUUCCAUGUCGGGAAUACACAUUUACUUAGACAAUGAAACAAAUGCAGGAGAACCUGUAUUUACAGGUUGGUCGCCAGAGACACUGGUCUUCCAUCGGCCGCACCACUCCUGAGAGGGUAUGCAAAGGUUGAGCCCCUACAAUAGCUGAGCUCAAUAGUUUUGUCAUCACUGCACCGUCUCAGAAUAUUGAGUUCAUAUGCACUGAGAGUUACUCGCGUCGACCUAGAGAAAGGAUGGUGUUACGUCGCUUGCUCUGAAUGCACCAAAAGCUGCAGCGCACUGACUCCUCAUUUGCAUGUGUGCGAUGCGACAAUGCUCAUGCUGUUGGUGCUCUCCGCUACAGAAUAGAGAUGGACAUUGCUGAUGAUACUGCUAAAGGUUUUUUUGUUUGUUUUGAUGAUGUAAUGACAAAAUAACGUAACCUCAAAGCAAGUCAAGCUGGUCAAAUGUUGGCUGAAAAAGGUGUGAACCCUGAGGACUCUCGGAUGCCUCUGUUUAUUACAUACAUGGAAGGAAAGACACACGGCGAGCCAUCAGACAUUCACCAUCACACGCAUUUUUGAUGAACGUGAUCGUGUGCCCCUCCCUGACUUCGUUGACAAUGGAGGGUACGAUAAUGAUGGUGGCGACAUGCCAGGUGAUAAUCCAAUUCCUUAGUGGUGAAGCAGCUUUGAAUGGUGGUACGGAUACAAAUGGUGAUGUGUCAAACAAGGUGGCCAAUCCAGCUUCGCAGGUUGUCAAGAUCUUUGAGCGAAGUACUCUGUAUUUAGAUAAUGCUUAUGCAUUAGCUUUCCUUUCCACGUUUUCGUUUUCUCUACUUUUGACUUUCACCACUUAGUGGUUCUAUGUUUGAGUCAAACAAACUUCUUAUUUCCUAUUAAAAAUAUCUUUAAGCUUCA